CUGGGGGCUACCAAGCCAGGGAGAAAAUCCACUAUUAGCAGUAUUAAUUCAGGCCUUAAACCAACUGUUUAAUCCUAUCACUUAAUACCUACCCAAUGCAAUAACGUCUGGGGGCUACCAAGCCAGGGAGAAAAUCCACUAUUAGCAGUAUUAAUUCAGGCCUUAAACCAACUGUUUAAUCCUAUCACUUAAUACCUACCCAAUGCAAUUUCAAUCUAAAACUAAGACCAAAGUUCCUA
rnacentral:lncRNA from 1 species